AACCUUGUGAUAAGUUAGAGACCCAUGUGGAGAAUGGAGAUAUGACAAUAGAAAUGAGGAAAAGGUUGUGUAAUGGUGUGCUUCUAGGACACACUAGGAAGGUGAAUUAGAGCCCAGAAAGAACUAAACGGGUUUGAACAACGGUCUAAGAAGGGGAAAAAUAAAAAAAGAUGGGAAUUAAGAAAGUUAUUGGGUCUCACAACCAAGGAAAGGCUCAGCCCCAAGAAUUCUACCACAAGAAGAAACCCAAAACAUCAUAUGGGUAUUGGUACCCAUUGGAUACACGUGUGUGGGCAUGCACAUGCACGAAACAACAUACCCGCAUAUGCAAGAUUUCUGUCUGCAAGGAGAAGCACGCAGAACGUGAAGGAGCGGUGCGCAGUAAGAGUGAGCAUCCACGAGCGCAAGCAUAAGCCAGAUGUGCGCAGGAGCAGGCCCAUGUGCGAGUAACCCCUACUACACGCUCGACCAUCUAUGUGCACGCAAGGGACUUUUUGCAUGCGUUAGGCACACACUACCAACAACCUGUAUGCCACUUGCACGCGGCCAGGCUGAUAGCUGCAUGAUGAGUCCUACUCAGACUCUUUUCUCCCCUUUUUCCUAAUUUUCGUAUAAUUCCAAGCUACAAUAGUUUUACAAAGUAUGCCAUGUAAUUAAAGUGCAAAAUUG
rnacentral:lncRNA from 1 species